GAAUUGACGGGGGCCCGCACAAGCGGUGGAUUAUGUGGAUUAAUUCGAUGCAACGCGAAAAACCUUACCUGGCCUUGACAUGUAACGAACUUUCCAGAGAUGGAUUGGUGCUCGAAAGAGAACGUUAACACAGGUGCUGCAUGGCUGUCGUCAGCUCGUGUCGUGAGAUGUUGGGUUAAGUCCCGCAACGAGCGCAACCCUUGCCAUUAAUUGCCAUCAUUUAGUUGGGCACUUUAAUGGGACUGCCGGUGACAAACCGGAGGAAGGUGGGGAUGACGUCAAGUCCUCAUGGCCCUUAUGGCCAGGGCUUCACACGUAAUACAAUGGUCGGUACAGGAGGGUUGCCAACCCGCGGAGGGGGAGCCAAUCCCAGAAAGCCGAUCGUAGUCCGGAUUGUAGUCUGCAACUCGACUACAUGAAGUCGGAAUCGCUAGUAAUCGCGGAUCAGCAUGUCCGCGGUCGAAUACGUUCCGGGCCUU
rnacentral:rRNA from 1 species